rnacentral:rRNA from 1 species
GGGGCGGGGGCAUAUCAAUAAGCGGAGGAAAAGAAACCAACAGGGAUUGCCUUAGUAGCGGCGAGUGAAGCGGCAAAAGCUCAAAUUUGAAAUCUGGCACCUUCGGUGUCCGAGUUGUAAUUUGAAGAUUGUAACCUUGGGGUUGGCUCUUGUCUAUGUUUCUUGGAACAGGACGUCACAGAGGGUGAGAAUCCCGUGCGAUGAGAUGCCCAAUCCUAUGUAAGGUGCUUUCGAAGAGUCGAGUUGUUUGGGAAU